AGAGUUUGAUCCUGGCUCAGGAUGAACGCUGGCGGCGUGCUUAACACAUGCAAGUCGAACGGGGAUUAUUUCAUUGAAGCUUCGGCAGAUUUGGUUUAAUCCUAGUGGCGGACGGGUGAGUAACGCGUGGGUAACCUGCCUUGUACAGGGGGAUAACAGUCAGAAAUGACUGCUAAUACCGCAUAAGCGCACAGGACCGCAUGGUCCGGUGUGAAAAACUCCGGUGGUAUAAGAUGGACCCGCGUUGGAUUAGCUAGUUGGCAGGGUAACGGCCUACCAAGGCGACGUUCCAUAGCCGGCCUGAGAGGGUGAACGGCCACAUUGGAACUGAGACACGGUCCAGACUCCUACGGGAGGCAGCAGUGGGGAAUCUUCCGCAAUGGGCGCAAGCCUGACGGAGCAACGCCGCGUGAGUGAAGAAGGGUUUCGACUCGUAAAGCUCUGUUGUCGGGGACGAACGUGGAGACGGCGAAUAGCCGUUUCCAAUGACGGUACCUGACGAGGAAGCCACGGCUAACUACGUGCCAGCAGCCGCGGUAAUACGUAGGUGGCGAGCGUUGUCCGGAAUUAUUGGGCGUAAAGGGAGCGCAGGCGGGAAGGUAAGUCUAUCUUAAAAGUGCGGGGCUCAACCCCGUGAGGGGAUGGAAACUAUCUUUCUUGAGUGCAGGAGAGGAAAGCGGAAUUCCUGGUGUAGCGGUGAAAUGCGUAGAUAUUAGAAGGAACACCAGUGGCGAAGGCGGCUUUCUGGACUGUAACUGACGCUGAGGCUCUAAAGCGUGGGGAGCGAACAGGAUUAGAUACCCUGGUAGUCCACGCCGUAAACGAUGAAUGCUAGGUGUAGGAGGUAUCGACCCCUUCUGUGCCGGAGUUAACGCAAUAAGCAUUCCGCCUGGGGAGUACGGCCGCAAGGCUGAAACUCAAAGGAAUUGACGGGGGCCCGCACAAGCGGUGGAGUAUGUGGUUUAAUUCGACGCAACGCGAAGAACCUUACCAGGGCUUGACAUUGAGUGAAAGGACAAGAGAUUGUCCCCUCUCUUCGGAGACACGAAAACAGGUGGUGCAUGGCUGUCGUCAGCUCGUGUCGUGAGGUGUUGGGUUAAGUCCCGCAACGAGCGCAACCCCUAUUCUUUGUUGCCAGCACGUAAUGGUGGGAACUCAAAGGAGACUGCCGCGGACAACGCGGAGGAAGGCGGGGAUGACGUCAAGUCAUCAUGCCCCUUAUGUCCUGGGCUACACACGUACUACAAUGGGAUGUACAGAGAGCAGCGAAGCCGCGAGGCCAAGCGAACCCCAUAAACCAUCUCCCAGUUCGGAUUGCAGGCUGCAACCCGCCUGCAUGAAGUUGGAAUCGCUAGUAAUCGCAGGUCAGCAUACUGCGGUGAAUACGUUCCCGGGCCUUGUACACACCGCCCGUCACACCACGGAAGUCAUUCACACCCGAAGCCGGCAGGCUAACCUUUUGGAGGCAGCCGUCUAAGGUGGGGGCGAUGACUGGGGUGAAGUCGUAACAAGGUA
rnacentral:rRNA from 1 species